CAGUAGCCACGGUAAUAUGGAGGGUGCAAGCGUUAAUCGGAAUUACUGGGCGUAAAGCGCACGCAGGCGGUCUGUCAAGUCAGAUGUGAAAUCCCCGGGCUUAACCUGGGAACUGCAUUUGAAACUGGCAGGCUAGAGUCUUGUAGAGGGGGGUAGAAUUCCAGGUGUAGCGGUGAAAUGCGUAGAGAUCUGGAGGAAUACCGGUGGCGAAGGCGGCCCCCUGGACAAAGACUGACGCUCAGGUGCGAAAGCGUGGGGAGCAAACAGGAUUAGAUACCCCUGUAGUCCCUGUCUCUUAUAC
rnacentral:rRNA from 1 species